rnacentral:rRNA from 1 species
UAGUCCACGCCCUAAACGAUGAGAACUAGAUGUCGGAAUUUUCGGUGUCGCAACUAACGCAAUAAGUUCUCCGCCUGAGGAGUAUGCACGCAAGUGUGAAACUUAAAGGAAUUGACGGGGGCCCGCACAAGCGGUGGAGUAUGCGGUUUAAUUCGACGCAACGCGAAGAACCUUACCAGGCCUUGACAUCCCUUGCAAAGCUAUAGAGAUAUAGUAGAGGUUAUCAAGGUGAC